GCAGUGGUGGCUCAGUGGUGGAAUUCUUGCCUUCCAUGUGGGAGGUCUGGGUUUGAUUUCCAGCUAAUGCA
rnacentral:tRNA from 1 species